UACGUAGGGAGCAAGCGUUGUCCGGAAUCAUUGGGCGUAAAGCGCGCGUAGGUGGCUUCGUAAGUCCGUUGUGAAAGUCAAAGGCUCAACCUUUGAAAGCCGAUGGAUACUGUGAAGCUAGAGUACGGAAGAGGCGAGUGGAAUUCCUGGUGUAGCGGUGGAAUGCGCAGAUAUCAGGAGGACCACCAAUAGCGAAGGCAGCUCGCUGGGACGUUACUGACACUGAGGCGCGAAAGCGUGGGGAGCGAACCGG
rnacentral:rRNA from 1 species